rnacentral:lncRNA from 1 species
CCCGCCGGUACCCGAUGGAGACGGGGUCUUGCCUGCUACCUUCUCGCCGUGAGACUGGUGCACUUCUCGGCGCCGAGUACAUAUGGGCUCUUGGCUGCGGGCAUCAGACCCCAAAUGAGCGCCCUGCGUUCACGUCACCGAAUACCCAGCUCCAGGGAUGCUCUUAAUCCUGCGCGUAUUGAUUCCACUGAAACGGAAGGAAACAAACUGCCCACGCCCAAAACAAAUAUAAUUCUGUAAGAACAUGGGAGAAGCGCUAUUGCUGAGCACUCGUUAGGCUUGGGACAAUACAAAGAGGAUCCUCCUGGCUGAGGAGACAGUGUUACAUCCAAAUAAUGAAAGUUCGUGGGGUGCCAGAAUGUAGGGAAUGCAAACGCCCAUGGGACUAGAAAUGGAAAAGGAAGAUCACAGAGAGAAACCUAGAGUUUCUAGAAGUUGAAGCAUGAGUCAAUUUUUGAGGAAAAGAGAAUUCUAGGAGCAGCAGCAGCACAUGCAAAGGAAAGAAAGUAUAACCGUGGCCGUGUUUCUUAGCGAUUCUCGAAUCUGAGGCCGUCUGUGUUAUGUGAAGCUAUGAUGUAAUGAAAGGAGCACUGGGCUGCAUUAGGAGGCCUGGCUCUGUCCCCUGUGUGCAGUAUGACGUCUGCAGACAAUGCCCCUCCCUGCGCUCCAGAGUCCUUGUCUCUCGGAAGAAAUGGUUGGACGGAUAGCUUACAUUCUAGCCACGAAGAACCAAAGUUGCUUUUCCUAACUUCUGAAUUAUCUUUCAUAAAGAUCCCAGUUGCCAGUUUAUUUAUAAAUGCAUUAAAGUCUAUAAUUUUUUUAC